GACGAACGCUGGCGGCGUGCCUAAUACAUGCAAGUCUAACGGACCGAACAGGAGCUUGCUCUCGUUCGGUUAGCGGGGGACGGGUGAGUAACACGUGGGUAAGCUGCUAGUAUGACCGGGAUAACUCCGGAAAACCGGAGAUAAUACGAGAUAACACCAAAGACCGAAUGGUCUUUGGGUGAUUGGCAGCUUGGGCUACUACAUACGCCUGUGUCCGCGGCGCAUUGGCUAGUUGGAGAGGCAACGGACCACCAAGGCGACGAUGCGUAGCCGGCCUGGGAGGGUGACCGGCCACACUGGGACUGGGACACGGCCCAGACUCCUACGGGAAGCAGCAGUAGGGAAUCUUCCGCAAUGGACGGAAGUCUGACGGCGCGACGCCGCGUGAGCGAAGAAGGUCUUCGGAUCGUAAAGCUCUGUUGUUAGGGAAGAAGAAGCGGCGUUCGAACAGGGCGGCGCGGUGACGGUACCUAACGAGAAAGCCCCGGCUAACUACGUG
rnacentral:rRNA from 1 species